rnacentral:rRNA from 1 species
UUCCUACGGGGCGCAGCAGUGGGGAAUAUUGCACAAUGGGGGAAACCCUGAUGCAGCAACGCCGCGUGAGUGAAGAAGUAUUUCGGUAUGUAAAGCUCUAUCAGCAGGGAAGAAGAAAGACGGUACCUGACUAAGAAGCCCCGGCUAACUACGUGCCAGCAGCCGCGGUAAUACGUAGGGGGCAAGCGUUAUCCGGAUUUACUGGGUGUAAAGGGAGCGUAGACGGCAUAGCAAGUCUGAAGUGAAAGCCCGUGGCUCAACCGCGGAACUGCAUUGGGAACUACCGGGCUGGAGUGCCGGAGAGG